rnacentral:lncRNA from 1 species
UCUACAGAUGGUCAAGCGAUGGCAGAAAUAUUUUUAGUUAGAGAAAAAUGCUUGACGAUGAACGUAGUGGCACCACCACAUUGUGAAAGACUUUGGGUUGAGACCAGCCUCAAGCAGCAAGGACUCCAAUUAUAGAAGAAGUCAAAAUUAAAUACUCUCAACUGCCCCCACUAGCCGCAUAAUAGGUGUAGGAACCAGAUCUAGGGUUUCAGGGUUAGAUCUUGAAAAUUUUUUAAGAUCAGACAGCGGAAGACUAAAAUAAAUCAAAAUUUAUUUUGUAAAACUAGAGAAUCUCUAGAUCUAA